UUUGAAUAAAAAAAUUUGUGUAGUGAAAUUAAAAAUUAGAAAAAAAAAAACGAAACAAAAUGUAGAGAAAAGUUAUUGAAAAAAUUUGAUUAUUAAAAAAAGACUUUUCUUUUUUUUCACCCGGAGAAAUAUGCCAACUAAACACAGUGAAGGAAAUACAUUUCAAAUGGUUUUAGAGUGUGUAGUCUAAACAACUGAAUAAAAUUGAAACAAAAAUUUUAGUGAAAGUGAAAAAAUUGGAAUCACAAAAAUUUACAAAUGUUUAAAACGAAUUAGCAAAUUAAACGAACAAUUAAUUUUGAACAAAAAAAUAACGACUAAAUUAAUUUAAAAUAGUAUAAUAAAAUAAUUAAUAAAUAAUAAUUAGUUAAAACAAAGUGUUAAACGAACUAAGUAUUUGGAAGUUAGAAAAACGACAAACAAUGGUGAAAAACUAAUUUUUGUAAAAAAUAAAAGCAACUUUAAAUUUUUGAAAACGCAACAAAUUUAAACUUAUAUGUAGAAGAUUAUUACAGAAGAUAAUAAUUUCAUAUGAGAAAAACAACUAAAUUAUUAGUUAAAUAAUAAUAAAAAUAAUUUUCAAACAUACAUUUGUAUAUAAUAAUAACGGAAAUCAACAACAACAAA